ensembl:lncRNA
CCCCCCAUUUAACCCUGAAAAUCACACAUUUUGGCUUAGAAAACCCCCAAUUUAAACCAAAAUGAAGCAUAUUCUCUUCAAAAAUCCCCCCUUUAACCCGAUAAUCACACAUUUUCCCAUCAAGAAUGCCCCAUUUAAACAAAAGUCAUGGAUUUUCUCUUUGAAAAUACCCAUUUAAUCCUGAAAAUCACAAAUGUCCUCUACAAAAAAUACUGUUUUACCCAAAAAUCAAGCUUUUCUCUGCCAAAUCUCACAUUUAAAGCAGAAAUCAUGCAUUUCCUCUUCAAGAAUCGGUGAUUUAACCCAAAAAUCACACAUCUUCUCUACAAAAAUCCCCCAUUUCAACCCCAAAUCACGCAUUUUCUCUACCAAAACAAACAAAAAACAAAACCCAAAACAUUUAACCCAAAAAUCCCGCAUUUUCACCACAAAAAUCCCCCUGGGAUUUCCGAAGAGAAAUUGUGUUUUCAUCAGGUUAAAUGGGGGAUUCUCAAAGAGAAAAUGCAUGAUUUUGUGGGGAAAUGAGGGAUUUUCCAAGAGGAAAUGCGUGAUUUGGGGUUAAAUGGGGGAUUCUCGAAGUGAAAAUGCUUGUUAUUAGGGAUAAACGGGGGAUUUUUGUAGUGCGAAAGCAUGAUUUGGGGGUGAAAUGGGGGAUUUUUGAAGAGAAAAUGUGUGAUUUUCGGGUUAAAUGGGGGAUUUUCCAGAGAAAAUGUGUGACUUUCGGUUAAAUGGGGGAUUUUUGUGGUAAAAAUGCGUGGCUUUCAGGUUAAAUGGGGGUUUGUGGAAGAGAAAAUGCAUGAUUUCUGGGUUGAAUGUUUUUUUUUUUCCUUUAGAGAAAAGUGGUGAUUUUUGAUUGUGUAUUUUUCCAAGAGAAAAUGCAUGGUUUUUCGAUUAAACGGGGGAUUUUUGAAAAGAAAAUGCGUGACUUUCGGUUAAAUGGGGGAUUUUUGUGGUAAAAAGGCAUGGCUUUCAGGCUAAAGCGGGGAUUCUCGAAGAGAAAAUACAUGAUUUCUGCAUUGAAUGUUUU